rnacentral:rRNA from 1 species
AUUGAACGCUGGCGGCAUGCUUUACACAUGCAAGUCGAACGGUAACAGGCCGCAAGGUGCUGACGAGUGGCGAACGGGUGAGUAAUGCAUCGGAACGUGCCCAGUCGUGGGGGAUAACUACUCGAAAGAGUAGCUAAUACCGCAUACGAUCUAUGGAUGAAAGCGGGGGACCGUAAGGCCUCGCGCGAUUGGAGCGGCCGAUGUCAGAUUAGGUAGUUGGUGGGGUAAAGGCUCACCAAGCCAACGAUCUGUAGCUGGUCUGAGAGGGCAACCAGCCACACUGGGACUGAGACACGGCCCAGACUCCUACGGGAGGCAGCAGUGGGGAAUUUUGGACAAUGGGCGCAAGCCUGAUCCAGCAAUGCCGCGUGCAGGAAGAAGGCCUUCGGGUUGUAAACUGCUUUUGUACGGAACGAAACGGCUCUGGUUAAUACCCGGGGCUAAUGACGGUACCGUAAGAAUAAGCACCGGCUAACUACGUG